UGCAAUCUAUGAUGAAAAAAAAUUUAUGUCUCUGAUUUAACAGUGAUUAUCACAUAAAUUUAUCACCAUCUUUCGGCUGAGAUUGCA